AAUAAUUUAUCGCCGGAUAAAGAUUUAGACGUUUAUUUUUGUAUCGUAGGCCUUUGAAGAUACAAAAUAUAAACGUCUUUUAUUU
rnacentral:ncRNA from 1 species